rnacentral:tRNA from 2 species
AGUUAAUGAGCUUGAUAAAGCAAUUGUUUUGAAAACAUUAAAUAGAAACUAAAAUUUUCUAUUAACUU